UACCUCAAAAUUCCGCCACAGUCUGUUUCAUCAGGCAGUAAAGAAUCAUCAGGCGCCUGAUGAUUCUUUACUGAUGAAACAGACUGUUGUGGAAUUU
rnacentral:miRNA from 1 species